rnacentral:piRNA from 1 species
UGGAUUUUUACUUUAAGCAUUGC